CCUACGGGAGGCAGCAGUGAGGAAUAUUGGUCAAUGGGCUUACGCCUGAACCAGCCAAGUCGCGUGAGGGAAGACUGCCCUAUGGGUUGUAAACCUCUUUUGUCAGGGAGCAACGCCGGCUACGUGUAGCCGGACUGAGAGUACCUGAAGAAAAAGCAUCGGCUAACUCCGUGCCAGCAGCCGCGGUAAUACGGAGGAUGCGAGCGUUAUCCGGAUUUAUUGGGUUAAAAGGGUGCGUAGGCGGAAUGCCAAGUCAGCGGUAAAAGCGCGGGGCUCAACCUCGCUCCGCCGUUGAAACUGGCGUUCUUGAGUGGGCGAGAGGUAUGCGGAAUGCGUGGUGUAGCGGUGAAAUGCAUAGAUAUCACGCAGAACUCCGAUUGCGAAGGCAGCAUACCGGCGCCCAACUGACGCUGAAGCACGAAAGCGUGGGUAUCGAACAGGAUUAGAUACCCUAGUAGUC
rnacentral:rRNA from 1 species